UUCCUUCUCUAACAGGGGAAAGUAUAAACCCCAGGGGAUCCAGGCUCUGAAGGAAAGGUUUAUCCAGAAGGCUGGUAGAGUCAAAGCCUGAGAGAGGUAGAGUAGGGAAAGGCUUAGGAAAAUGACCGGCUGCUGAUUAGAGGGUCCCUUAGCUGGAACCCAGAGUAGAGGGAGGCUACCAGCCACUGGGAAAGUGGCACAGUUUGGGCAGUGGGGGAGAAGACUGCCAUUUUGGAUGGAAAGACUUUGAUAACUCCUGCAAGGGGAAAACAUACAGUGAGCUGACCAGAGGGCCAAGCUACAAAGAGAGAGUGCUGAGUUGCUGAGAGAGAAGCAGCGGGACACACAAACAAGUGACAGAAGCUGGUGUCCAACCUGGAAGGAGCUAAUCCCCGGAUUAGCCAGAAGGAGCCAUCCCAGUGCUGGAAAUGCCUUGAUAGAAGAAUCUGAUUCCUGGCACAUAUUAGGAUUGACAUGGACACUAAUCCUACAGUGACAUGCAUCUGGAUAUACUCUUGCAUCUGCACAGGAUGCCAUUGCAGUAACUGGAGGAUCAAAGCCUUUUUCAGCUACUUCUAAACGUCUGUUCUUCUGGUCAAUCAACUGCGGACAUGACUGACAACUUGUAGUGGCUGACAAAUAUCACAUUUCUGAUGUACUGCCAUGAAAUAGAAAAUACAUACUCAAACCACAGGAGGUGACAUGUACUAAAAGUCAGGAUGCUAAUCCAUUUACAAGGAUGUGACAUGAGAUCAGGAAAAUAGCUGUGACUGGCACUCAACAUAUCCUACCCUGUGUAUGAACAGAACACACGCACGUAAUUGUUUAUGUAAACAACAUUUUGGAAGGGCAAUUUCAUUUUUUUUUUAAAAAUUAAAACUACCGAAUGUAUCACCGUUUAGGUGCUGUUCACACUUUCAUGCUUGUUUUAUAUCUUGCUCUGUUUUACUUUCCUCUGUCUUAAAUUAAAGCGUCUUGCCCACUAUUUGCUUUAUCCACCCUUUCUGCUAUAGUGCCCUCACUACCAAAAGUUCCUUUUAUUUCCCCUCUCAUGCCCAACAAGUUGCUUUCAGACAAGUAGUAUAGUGGCAGUGUGAGGAGUGUGGGAAACUGUACCUUUGAGGAGGCUCUGGUGAGAGCUAGUUGAAAUCGAUUGUUAUGCAGAGGCUCACGUCAUGCCAUGCUGCUCAGUUAGACUCUGAACGAAGCAGACCGUUGUCAGACUCCUUUGCUCUGAGUGAUCAGUGAACACCACCAAGAGGACAGGACAACAGAAGAUGGAGGGAGAUAAAGUAGGGCAACCCCCAGCGGUUGAAGAUAGUGGUGUUGUGGGAGGGAGAAAUCCAAGUGAAAGGGUAGGUGGGGGAGACUCAAAUGAGGUGGAGGCAGAUAAACAGCUGCAGUAAAAACAGCUCCCUCCCUCAAUGACAGAGCACAAGGUCCUUGUGCCUGCUUCACCUCUGUCUGCUGCAGCUGAGUCAUAGGAGUGCAGAGUUUCCCUGUCUAGUGAGGGCAAAGGCAGUCAAGUGGGCUGACAGGUCCUUUCAGCCUGAGCAGCAGGCUAAGACAGGGAGCAGCCAUUCUUAGCUGAGUGAGGAUGGAUGAAGACUAAUAAAAGAACAAAGGAAGAAGGCCUUCCUUUCUUCAGCUUUCUGGUACCUUCCUUUCUCUUUUCCCCCAGCUCUGCGUAGUUUAUUCCUGAGCCUACAAUUCAGUGGGGGGGGAGAGGAAUAGGCUUGACCGCUCUGUCACUGAAGUUGCACCAACCUAUGUCAGCAGUGAAUUUGGCCCCUAGAACUGAAAGCAAGUUUAGGUUAGUAACGGGUGAUGCUUAAAACUUUUAGCAUUUCCAUUCUAAUAAACACUCAUGCUUUUGGGUGCUUAUUCAAGCUAUCUGAAACUCUGGGAUAAAAUCGUGGCCUCACUGAAGUCAAAGGUAGAAUUCCCAGGAGUUCACCCUUUGAGUCUGCAAAAUCAGAGAGGAAAACUUGCAAAAACAGACACUCCCACAAGAUUUCUAACAUUAUCUGCUUCUAGUCUAACCAUAAAUAACAUGAGAUUUUUCUCGUGGUAUUUUAGCAAUUCAGCUUCUGGUUCUAGUGGACAAUUAUUUUUGUUCAGAACAAUUAUAUUAUCUGUCUUAGUUUGCUCAUCCCUAGUUCAGAUGCAAUUUUUAAAAUUAUUAUUAUUUUAUUUUAUUUUAUUUUAUUAUUUGAUCACUG